rfam:Anaerobacillus arseniciselenatis strain DSM 15340 Ga0137926_106, whole genome shotgun sequence.
CUUGGUGGCGAUAGCGAAGAGGUCACACUCGUUCCCAUGCCGAACACGAUCGUUAAGCUCUUCAGCGCCGAUGGUAGUUAGGGGUUUCCCCUUGUGAGAGUAGGACGUUGCCAAGC